AAACUUUGCAAUGCGGGAAACCGUGACAAGGGAACUCCAAGUGCCCGUAAAAUCGGGCUGUUAAUCUGUUUAAAUAGCAGGUUGAGAAAGGGCCGGGCAAGACCGGUGCCAGCCGCCGCGGUAAUACCGGCGGCUCGAGUGGUGGCCACUAUUACUGGGCUUAAAGCGUUCGUAGCUGGUCUGUUAAGUCUCUGGGGAAAUCUGCCGGCUUAACCGGCGGGCGUCUCAGGGAUACUGGUAGACUAGGGACCGGAAGAGGUGAGAGGUACUCCAGGGGUAGGAGUGAAAUCCUGUAAUCCUUGGGGGACCACCUGUGGCGAAGGCGUCUCACCAGAACGGCUCCGACAGUGAGGGACGAAAGCUGGGGGAGCAAACCGG
rnacentral:rRNA from 1 species